rnacentral:rRNA from 1 species
GAUGAACGCUGGCGGCGUGCCUAAUACAUGCAAGUCGAGUGAACGGACGAGAAGCUUGCUUUUCUGAUGUUAGCGGCGGACGGGUGAGUAACACGUGGAUAACCUACCUAUAAGACUGGGAUAACUUCGGGAAACCGGAGCUAAUACCGGAUAAUAUUUUGAACCGCAUGGUUCAAAAGUGAAGGACGGUCUUGCUGUCACUUAUAGAUGGAUCCGCGCUGCAUUAGCUAGUUGGUAAGGUAACGGCUUACCAAGGCAACGAUGCAUAGCCGACCUGAGAGGGUGAUCGGCCACACUGGAACUGAGACACGGUCCAGACUCCUACGGGAGGCAGCAGUAGGGAAUCUUCCGCAAUGGGCGAAAGCCUGACGGAGCAACGCCGCGUGAGUGAUGAAGGUCUUCGGAUCGUAAAACUCUGUUAUUAGGGAAGAACAUAUGUGUAAGUAACUGUGCACAUCUUGACGGUACCUAAUCAGAAAGCCACGGCUAACUACGUG